rnacentral:rRNA from 1 species
CCUACGGGAGGCAGCAGUGAGGAAUAUUGGUCAAUGGACGAGAGUCUGAACCAGCCAAGUAGCGUGAAGGAUGACUGCCCUAUGGGUUGUAAACUUCUUUUAUAAAGGAAUAAAACGAGGCACGUGUGCCUUUUUGCAUGUACUUUAUGAAUAAGGAUCGGCUAACUCCGUGCCAGCCGCCGCGGUAAUACGCCGGAUCCGAGAGUUAUCCGGAUUUAUUGGGUUUAAAGGGAGCGUAGAUGGGUUGUUAAGUCAGUUGUGAAAGUUUGCGGCUCAACCAUAAAAUUGCAAUUGAUACUGGCAGUCUUGAGUACAGUUGAGGUAGGCGGAAUUCGUGGUGUAGCGGUGAAAUGCUUAGAUAUCACGAAGAACCCCGAUUGCGAAGGCAGCUUACUAAACUGUGACUGACAUUGAUGCUCGAAAGUGUGGGUAUCACACAGGAUUAGAUACCCUUGUAGUC